AUGAUGCGCACAUAUGGGCUUUCGGAUGCUGAGAUUUGUAUUAAACAUGGCCUUUAUUGGCUUGAUGGCACAAGGAAGAGUUCUCCUGAAGGCAAUCCAGACCAUAGGAAUGUCAGCGUAUUGGUUCAAGCUUUGCUAGAUAAAUACAAUGAAGAUCACCAUCUUUUGGGGGAUCUUGCAUAUGAACUUGAUGAUGUUGUGAUCUUCCGAGAAUUUUAUGAGGGGAAGAACUUCACUAUGUUCUACCAUAUCAAUUUGACUACAAAAACCAAAGGACAAGAUGGUUUGCACAGUGGCGUCAACAAUCUAUUUUUUGCUGAAGUCAGAGAAAUUGAAGGAGAAAAUGACGAAUAUGUGCUCAAUUGUUUAUGUAUGGUUAAUCCUACCGACAAUGGCCAAUGCUAUGGUUGUAUGAGUUAUGGAAAUGUUGAUUUGAAGCACCCUGUUGAUGUGGAUAAAUACAAAGGGGGUCACUCUAGCCCACACAUACCAUGUUGUGGUUUUGAUCUAGGGUGUGAUGUUAUUACUGGCCUAGAUGCAUACACCGAGAGUGAAGAGGCUAGGCUGGUGGAUGACGAGGCUAUGCUAAGAUAUAUCUGGCAAAAUUGGAUGGUGAAGAGUGCCUGCUGGUUUGGCGAAGAGAGAGGAUUCUGGUUUGACCAAGGGAGAGUGUGGUCAGGAAGCGUGAAAUACAUUGUACCUGCUAGGCGUAUGUUGGUUUGA
rnacentral:rRNA from 1 species